GACGAACGCUGGCGGCGUGCUUAAGACAUGCAAGUCGUACGAGAAAGUCACUUCGGUGGCGAGUAAAGUGGCGCACGGGUGAGUAACGCGUGGGUAAUCUGCCCUUUGGUUUGGGAUAACCCCGGGAAACCGGAGCUAAUACCGACUAAGACCACGAUGACUUCGGUCGAUGUGGCAAAAGGUGGCCUCUUCUUGAAAGCCAUCGCCAAUGGAUGAGCCCGCGUUUGAUUAGCUAGUUGGUGAGGUAAAGGCUCACCAAGGCUCCGAUCAAUAGCUGGUCUGAGAGGACGAUCAGCCACACUGGAACUGAGACACGGUCCAG
rnacentral:rRNA from 1 species